AUUGAACGCUGGCGGCAGGCCUAACACAUGCCAGUCGAGCGGAUGAAGGGAGCUUGCUCCUGGAUUCAGCGGCGGACGGGUGAGUAAUGCCUAGGAAUCUGCCUGGUAGUGGGGGAUAACGUCCGGAAACGGGCGCUAAUACCGCAUACGUCCUGAGGGAGAAAGUGGGGGAUCUUCGGACCUCACGCUAUCAGAUGAGCCUAGGUCGGAUUAGCUAGUUGGUGGGGUAAAGGCCUACCAAGGCGACGAUCCGUAACUGGUCUGAGAGGAUGAUCAGUCACACUGGAACUGAGACACGGUCCAGACUCCUACGGGAGGCAGCAGUGGGGAAUAUUGGACAAUGGGCGAAAGCCUGAUCCAGCCAUGCCGCGUGUGUGGAGAAGGUCUUCGGAUUGUAAAGCACUUUAAGUUGGGAGGAAGGGCAGUAAGUUAAUACCUUGCUGUUUUGACGUUACCAACAGAAUAAGCACCGGCUAACUUCGUG
rnacentral:rRNA from 1 species